UACGUAGGGGGCAAGCGUUGUCCGGAUUUAUUGGGCGUAAAGAGCGUGUAGGCGGCUUUACAGGUCCGUUGUGAAAACUCGAGGCUCAACCUCGAGACGCCGGUGGAAACCGUAAAGCUAGAGUCCGGAAGAGGAGAGUGGAAUUCCUGGUGUAGCGGUGAAAUGCGCAGAUAUCAGGAAGAACACCCGUGGCGAAGGCGGCUCUCUGGGACGGUACUGACGCUGAGACGCGAAAGCGUGGGGGAGCGAAACUGG
rnacentral:rRNA from 1 species